UAAUUUUACUAUAAUGGCAAAAGAAUGAAGAGUACAAAAGAUGGAGAUAAAAACUAAACCCCGAAAACCCGAAAAACAAAGAACCCUCAAACGUAAACACAAAAUUCUCUGAAUGUGUUAUGAGUUCUAAUCUAAUGGGUGUCUCUCUAAUUCUAAGAUUGUAAAGGAGCCUAUUUAUAGGCUAAAUUAGCAAGUCAAAUAAACUAUACUAAUAAAUGCUAAAUAUAUUAUACUAAUAAAUACUAAAUCUUCUAGAAAGAAAAUAUAUUUUUGUUUAACUUGACUUGCAAGCAAUC
rnacentral:lncRNA from 1 species